GCGGCCUCGAUUAGCGGGGGAACCACAUGAAAAAAAGCGAGCUACUGGGUGUACCUCCUGGGUAGUUUGGAAAUCACCUAAAAUAUAUAUGUAUAUAUUUAUAAAUAAAAGUUAAUAUAUAUAAAUAAACAUUAUUAUUUUUUAACAGGAAAUGCACAAUGCUAAAAACUGCGUAGGAGAUUUUAAUACAAUAGUACUACCAAGCCUGAUGUUGGCCGCUAUUUCAAUGAAUGCAGCAGUGUGACAGCUAGCAAUCAAAAGUAACAAGAUAUCGAGGAAAUGCAGAUGGCAAUAAACUGUGUAGGAGUUCAUGAUUGCAAUAGAAUAAAAUCGACCAAGCCUGAAGUCAGCAGCCCCCCUUCAAUGAAUGCAGCAGUGUGACAGCCAGCAAUCAAAAGUUACAAGAUAUCGAGGAAAUGCAGAAGGCAAAAAACUGCGUAGGAGAUCAUUAAUACAAAAGUAUUAUAUAAACCAAACCUGAUGUUGCCAGCUCCUUCAAUGAAUGCAGCAGUGUGACAGCCAACAAUCAAAAGUAACAAGAUAUCGAGGAAAUGCAGAAGGCAAAAAACUGCGUAGGAGAUCAUUAAUACAAUAAACCAAGCCUGAUGUUGGCCGCUCAUUC